GGAAUCACUGGUUACAACUUUGGUUUUCAGUAGUACUCGAGCACAUUAAAAAGCAGGAGGGUGGAGGAAAUCAGAGGAGAACAGAGAAGGGCAAAGCACGAGACAGCAACACAAGGGAAGCAGAGAGGCAGGCACCAGGCAAGGGAAAGGAACUAAAGGAACCAAACCCUGAACUGCUAAUGCUCCCCUAGUCUACAGCUGCAUAUGGAACUUUCACCGCCUCCCCCCUGCCUAUGCCUGUCCUCUUCCCCAUCAGUGGGAGUGUUUCUAAAAGCUCUCUAUAUUUUGUGUGUGUCUGAUAUUUUUACAAGGCUCCUACGUAACCUUUUCCAAUGUAGGGAGCUGUUGUGAAUUCUGUAAAAACUAAUAGAAAAAAAAUGGAAAGAAAAUAACUGUGCUGAUACACUAUGGAGCUGAAUAUUUUUUGUAAUUGGAUUCUCUUGCUGUUUGUACUUUCAUAAGGAUUUAGCACAGCCAGCACCGUUCAACAUGAGAGAAGAAAGAAGUGCCCUAUGCAAAAAGAUGCAACUCCCAGGAUGGAUAUUUUCUGAGUUCAGAAAGGACCUCUAAAUAUUGUCAGUUAAGGAGCUAUACAAAGACUGCCAGUAGUCUUGAAUAUAUCUUUUCUACUCAGUAAUUAUCCAUAAUACAUAAAUAAUGAAGUCUCCAGAGGCACUUUGUGGCCUUUGUGCAAGUGCCUUAUAUAGAGAUUUAUAUGAGAAUGCACUUCAGAUAUAUGUUUUUCCACAUUAGAAUAAUUCAGAGUAAAUCUAGUAGACAGCUGAUCAGAUUCUGAAGCGAGGAGCAAUAAGCCUGUAAAUUGUUUUAUAGAUUAGUACUCAUUAGUAACAAAAACAACAAACCAACAAACAAAAAGCACAAAAAACCACCAACGAAUAAAUAUAAAAGUCACAAAACCCCAGUCUGAACUAGGGACAAACGAAAUCUUGCAGAAAAAGUAACUGUUACAUAUUCUCUCUCUGCAGGACUUAUCACCUAUGUAAAAAAGCAUCUUAUUUAUCUGAAGGCUUUGUCUUCUUACCCUGUCUUCUUCCUCAACCCAGCCUCCUACACUUGAAAAUACAUAUGCACACAAAAUAGUUUAUAAACCACAGGGUGUGUCUCUCUUUAUCUUGUCCAUGUAAACUCCAUUUAUAUAAACCAAAGAAACCACACAGGCAGAUUUCUUUAUCAGACUUUCUAUUGAAUUUAUGUAAAUGCAAUAACAAAUGUAAAUGUCACCAAAUGUUUAAUUCUUGUACAGGAAUAACUAUUUCAUUAUAUGUAAUUCCUUUAGUAGGUUCUUAAAAAACACACUAAGAGAGACAAAAUUGAAGCACAGACUGAAUUCUUAUGCUUUCUCAUUUGAGGUGUUAAGAGAUGCACUUUUUCAAUUUAUAUUAUGUUAAUUGGAAGUUAAUGUCUAUUACCUUAAAUUUCCAUAAAACUCAACUUUUAGGGAACAUAUACCUAAUAACACAAUUAUAUGUUCACAAUAAAUAUAUAAAAUAUGUGACUGGUUGAAGUUCACUAAAGAAAAUUCAUCAAACUCCCAAUAUUCAAGCCAAUUCAGUUCAUCUAUUUUUUACAGAAGGUACCUUUAAGGUUUUGGAAAGCAAUGUCACAACAGAUUUCAGAGAUCUGAUUCGUUCAAAGGUAAGUGUAGAUGUUCACAUCUGAUUAUAACACACAAGUCAAAACUUCCAACUCUUACUUAAACAGUUCUUAAGCACCCUCUUGUCUGUGUUUUGACCAUAAAAUACCGCACUUUGGACAAGCUAUUGCAAUGGCUGUCCUGUGCAUAUUUUCAGGGACAUAAAGCUAUUUCUUUAGAACAGUCUGGAAAUACACUAAUCUUCAAGAUACAGACACCUUAGGGAUGUGUUAAGCCGAGUGAAAUUUACAGUGUAAUCAACUUACUGCAAUAUGACCAAAAGUCUCAAUUCUUAUUAUUAUUUGCUACAGCUAUAAAUUGCAAUUUUUAAAUAGUAGAUUAAUGAAAAUUUAAACAACACUACCAGAAGGACAAAUGAGAAAUUUUACAACUGUGAAAAACCGUUCACACACUACAGACUACACACAGAAUGGAAGCGUUCAUUUUUCUUCCCAGGUCAGACAAGAGAAUACUUAAAGUAAAUUGUGAGUCUACAGACACAUUGCUCAAAUCCAUGCAAUCACCUCAACUCUUUUUUUUAAAUUUUUAUAGUUAUCACCAACUGUCCUUCCCGUGCAGCACUGUUAUUCAUGGUACAUGUCUACACACAGAGCCUAACUCCAAAAAAUUGAUCACAUAACAGCUGUUGAUACAAAUAUGAGACAAAAUUCAUGGUUAGCAAAUAAUUAAAGAUAUAAAGAAGAAAAAAAUAUUUUUCUUUCUAAAUUGCAUCAGUCUCAUAGAGGUGAACUUGUAAUCCUUUCAGAAUCUGAGAGCUGCAGAGACACGCACUGCAAAGUGUGACCGAUAAUUUGAAAGGUGGAUUGUACCCCAAAAUGUUUAGAGAAAUUAGGGCAGAAAAUGGCAGAGGCAACGUAACUGUCUCCUAGACUUUAUUUGGUUUUUUUAUUAAUAGGCAGCUGCUACGUAAAUGUGCAUUAAACCUUGAAGAUGUAUGGAUCGAUUACAAAAUAUAUUUGAAUAUGUGUUAUUUAUGUAUUUCCUACUUUAUGGUCCCAUCAUCCGUAACUUGAACAGGAAUGCAAUGAGAUUAUUUUAAAAUAUACUAAUUUUACAAAAACUAGCUCCUAAUACAAAUAUCUCUCUUAUUAAAACUGUGUAAUAAACUGCAUCAUUAUAGAUAUUUAAUAAUUUUCCUUCCUUCCUCUAACACUUUUUUUUUUUUUUUAUUAGAAACUAUUUAAAACUCUGCUCAUUGCAAGAUAAUAAUAGUAAUAAUGGCAAUGUCUAAAAAUACAUGAGCAUAAAUCUGUCAAAACUUCUUUAAUGCGCAUUUUUGCCUCUUGCACAACCGGGACACCUCUUUAGUAAACUUUGCAUCAAAACUUCCCCCUGGCUCCCCCCUCCACUGAACAGAAGUGUCUGAGACACUUUAUUUCGGCUGGUAGGGGCGGUGUCAACACCUGCAGAGUGCCGAGCACGGAACAGGCACUUUCAGCUUCUCCUGCAGCCCAGCGCUGGGGCGAGGCAGCUCCCGCCUCAGCCCUUCCCCAACACCCCCAUCUUCCCUGUGCUUUUGUCGGCACCUGUUGUCCCUCGGUGGCUUAUGGCUCCCGGGAGAGCUUCUAAACCGGGGGGAACUUCCCCAACAGGCUCGGACUCAGUGCAGCCCCUCGGCCCCUGCAGUGACACCCGGGGACAAAGGUCCCGCUGCCACCAGCGCUGCCCUCGCCUCGCCCAAGCAAGGCACAGACCCUGCACAGACAAACAGCCCUCCCCCGGCGCUGCAAAGCCAGGGCUGCCCUCGGGUUGAAGCAGCAGCAACAACACAGAGCUGAAGCCGGAGUGCUUCUUUUAGGAAACUGCUCCAAGGGUCACGGUUGUUCUUUGGGGCACACAGACCUUCCCUGAAGCACCUGAAGCUCUGUGGAAAGCACGGUGGUUUCGCCUUGUGUGUUGCCAGAUCUCUGCACGCUGUCACAACUUCAUCAAAGGUGAAGUGCUCACAAGAACCACUCGUGAGAGACUUCACUCACAAAGUGUCAGCAAAGCUUCCUCACCUUCCCUACUGUGAUAAGCAACAUGGGAUAAUUCGUGUUAUAGUGUAUAUAUAAAAUAUGAUGUAAGAUAUGUCAUUAAAAACAAAUGAAGCAAGCAAGUCGGGCUUGUAACAAACGCACUUUAGGAUGAACAACAGCUGCUGCCAGGAAUCCAAGGUGGACAAUACCCUGGCUGGAAACGUGAGAAACACCGAAAUUAACAGGAAACGGGAUGGGCAGAGCAGAUGGGCCCUUCUGGGCGGUGAAGUGCCCAGCCAUCAAGAACAAUAUGGAUCUAGCAGCAAUAUCGGGAAAGAUGCCCCUCUAUUCACCAUUUCAUCUCUCUGUUCAGGCUUUCCGAGAAACUGAAUUAUUAUUCAUCUUUCCCUUGGAAGCCCCAUUCAGCAGACUGGACGGCAGAAAGAAACUCAUACGAAUAUGAAGGAAAAGAAAGAAGACAGAAUUAUGGGGGCCACAGGCAAAAUAAACUGUAUAUAAGGGGACCCCAAAAAGGGCUGAAUUUGUGAACAGAGGGACUACAGUGCGAUAGAGGCCGUAGUUAAAGUUCACCCAGUGCCGAUCUCCCGGUCUCGACACUGAACUUCCAAUUGCUGGCUUGUCUGAAAUUUCUGUAAGUUGAUUCUUUAAUUAAUAAAAAUUGUUUUAUUAAUUGGGAAUUGCCUAAUAUUUAUAACAGUAGACAAAACAAAUCCUUUUCCUGCUGAAGACCAAGGACAGCUUUCAGGCCCAAAAGCAUAAACAAUGGUAGACUGAAGGGAGAAACAAGAAGGAUGAGAUCUCACGGCCUGGAGCUCUGGUUGGACAAUUAAACCCCAAUACGCAGAUGGACCAAAACUUAUAAAAGUGUAAGACCUUGUGAUAUAUGGUGUGAAAUAACUCGUGUUUGUAAUCUGUGGUAUAAAAUAAUUCGUGUAUUAUAAAAAUAUACGGUGAAAAGUUACUCAGGCUUGGGGGAAGAAAAAGUUCAGGAAUUGUGAAUGGUCCUGCCAGGAACUCAGGAAAGGACUAAAAUUUGCAAUAGAAAGAAGGGUGGCUCCAAAAAGAGAUGGGCCCUGUCAGGAGAUGGAUCUAACAACGACCCAGUGAUUAACACUCCAUGUGGAUCUGGCCUCCAUCAUGCUGGGCACUGGGCCUCUCCUCGGAAACCUAUUCAACCCACCCGGCAGCAAAGAAAAGGCUACAUGAAUAUGAAAAAGAAACUGGAGGAACAAAAGAAGUAUGAGGCAAUGCCCUGUCCAGCCCAAACAACCCUGUAUAUAAACCGGCUCCACAGAGACUGACAUUGUGAACAGGGGAGCUCCGGUGCGAUAGAGGCCGGAGCUAAGUUCACCCAGUGCCGAUCCCAGCUCGGCACUGAUUUUUGCUUGUGGUUUCUCGAAAUUCUAUUUUGUAAAUUAUCAAUUAAAUUCUAUAUUAAUAUACUUGGCUAAUCAUUUAUUGCAACAUAGUGACUGGUUGUCCAUUUUGUGACCAUUCUAAGUCUACCUUGGGUGUAGCCCUGGUGAGGCUCUUGUCCUGCCCAAAGUGUACCCUUAAGGCCUUUCAAUAAAUACCUGCUUUAUUGUCUAGCUCUGUCCAGUCUUUGUUUCAAGUCAGCCUUCCUAAAGCAUCACUUGAAUACAGGGUGCCCAGCAUCUGACAAGGUCUUAGAUUUACUUGCUGUCUAUACUCCUCUUCCUAUUCUAUAUUAUUAAAGCAGUUGUUUUUUAACUCAUGUCUUGUUGUUGCCAUUUGAUUAAAAUAAACUGUAUUUAGCUAGUAGAGAACCUUAUAGUUGACAUUAGUAGUAGUCAUGCUAAGGCUUGGUAGGCCGCGUAUAACCUGCAGAUGAACUAUUAUAGUGAAAUUUGUAAUGUAAGCAGUGUAGCUAAGAGAUAAUCACUUAUCUAAGGAAUGUACCUUUUGGCAGGAACCUAAAUGUCAAGAAGAUAAUAGUACCAGGUGUUAGAAUUAAGUAAGAUUUUGUUACGAUGAAGAAAUCAUGUAAAGAAACAUAUAAAAACCCUGUAAAAUUUCUGUGAGAUGGGGCUCUGACUUUGGACGCUAGUCCCAGGCUCCCAGGGCCCUCAAUAAAGCACCGCAUAAACGA